rnacentral:lncRNA from 10 species
CUAACAUGGGACAACUUAACCCCUGUUUGCAGAAUUCGAAUAAAUAAGUAUUUGGCUAAAGCUUUGCAAUGGGACCUCAUUGAAGUUUUACAGAGAGUACGCUAUUCCUUAAUUUUCUUCUUAGCUGCAGAGCUUUUAGGGUCACUGAGCAGACCUUUAAGUGAGAGUCAAGGAAAUUUGGAAAUGCCUCACUGAUUUUUAUCAAUUGUUUCCAUUCUUUCCUUUCAAAAAAUAUACAGGGGCCAUGAAAUCACUUGUUCAAAUCCUGAUGAAAGUGUUAGAAAGGCUCAUUGCUUUCUUCCUUCCUUGCUGUCAUCAACCCUCCAGCAUUCAGCUAGACCACAGUUUUUCACUGAUUAUUAAAGUGGUUGAUUCUGGAGGACUGUUCACAACUGGAAAUCUAAAGAUUUUUCUCAUCAAUGUAAACAAUAAGGACCCCGUUCUUACCUGCAGUUUACUAAAUAUUGAAAAUGCUGUCUCGAGUGUGACUUCCAUAAACUCAACUUGGCACAAUAAAGUUGACAUCACACUGGAUGAAGAAAUUCCAAUUGGGAAAAUGAUUGGAGUGCCAGGCAACAGAUGA